rnacentral:rRNA from 1 species
AACAGGAUUAGAUACCCUGGUAGUCCACGCUGUAAACGAUGCCGAUUUGGAGGUUGUGGGCAUGACCCGUGGCUUCCGGAGCUAACGCGUUAAAUCGACCGCCUGGGGAGUACGGCCGCAAGGUUAAAACUCAAAUGAAUUGACGGGGGCCCGCGCAAGCGGUGGAGCAUGUGGUUUAAUUCGAUGCAACGCGAAGAACCUUACCUACUCUUGACAUCCAGAGAAUUCGCUAGAGAUAGCUUAGUGCCUUCGGGAACUCUGAGACAGGUGCUGCAUGGCUGUCGUCAGCUCGUGUUGUGAAAUGUUGGGUUAAGUCCCGCAACGAGCGCAACCCUUAUCCUUUGUUGCCAGCACGUAAUGGUGGGAACUCAAAGGAGACUGCCGGUGAUAAACCGGAGGAAGGUGGGGAUGACGUCAAGUCAUCAUGGCCCUUACGAGUAGGGCUACACACGUGCUACAAUGGCAUAUACAAAGAGAAGCGAACUCGCGAGAGCAAGCGGACCUCACAAAGUAUGUCGUAGUCCGGAUUGGAGUCUGCAACUCGACUCCAUGAAGUCGGAAUCGCUAGUAAUCGUAGAUCAGAAUGCUACGGUGAAUACGUUCCCGGGCCUUGUACACACCGCCCGUCACACCAUGGGAGUGGGUUGCAAAAGAAGUAGGUAGCUUAACCUUCGGGAGGGCGCUUACCACUUUGUGAUUCAUGACUGGGGUGAAGUCGUAACAAGGUAGCCGUA